GCAAGUCGAGCGAACUGAUGAAGAGCUUGCUUUUGAUCAGUUAGCGGCGGACGGGUGAGUAACACGUGGGUAACCUGCCUGUAAGACUAGGAUAACUCCGGGAAACCGGGGCUAAUACUAGAUAACUUUUCUCUCCGCAUGGAGAGAGAUUGAAAGAUGGCUUCGGCUAUCACUUACAGAUGGACCCGCGGCGCAUUAGCUAGUUGGUGAGGUAACGGCUCACCAAGGCAACGAUGCGUAGCCGACCUGAGAGGGUGAUCGGCCACAUUGGGACUGAGACACGGCCCAAACUCCUACGGGAGGCAGCAGUAGGGAAUCUUCCGCAAUGGACGAAAGUCUGACGGAGCAACGCCGCGUGAGUGAAGAAGGUCUUCGGAUCGUAAAACUCUGUUGUUAGGGAAGAACAAGUAUCGUUCGAAUAGGGCGGUACCUUGACGGUACCUAACCAGAAAGCCACGGCUAACUACGUGCCAGCAGCCGCGGUAAUACGUAGGUGGCAAGCGUUGUCCGGAAUUAUUGGGCGUAAAGCGCGCGCAGGCGGUCUUUUAAGUCUGAUGUGAAAGCCCACGGCUCAACCGUGGAGGGUCAUUGGAAACUGGAAGACUUGAGUGCAGAAGAGGAGAGUGGAAUUCCACGUGUAGCGGUGAAAUGCGUAGAGAUGUGGAGGAACACCAGUGGCGAAGGCGACUCUCUGGUCUGUAACUGACGCUGAGGCGCGAAAGCGUGGGGAGCAAACAGGAUUAGAUACCCUGGUAGUCCACGCCGUAAACGAUGAGUGCUAAGUGUUAGAGGGUUUCCGCCCUUUAGUGCUGCAGCUAACGCAUUAAGCACUCCGCCUGGGGAGUACGAC
rnacentral:rRNA from 1 species